AUCCUUUUCCUUCAUCACUGAAGGUAAUUCUUGCUCCUCAGGGGUGAAAAUUGUUAGGGAAGCAUGGUUGGGAAGCUGAUACUACAGAUAUCCCUAGAGAAGAAGCAGCCUGGGUUGAAAGCCUGGGCACAUCAAAAACUCCCACUGACAUCAACUGGAGGCAAGGCCACAUCAGGUGUUAACAAAAUGCUACAGGGACACAGAGCACAAGUGAGAAAAGGACAAGACUUACCAGGAACCAAAAAAAGGCAAAAGGUGCUGUGCAAGAAAAUAAAGACCAGCGAGUUCCCAAUCUAGAACUACGCACAAAAAGUGAAUGGAACAAACACAUGGAAGGAAGAGAGGAAAGAGUAACAAUAAGAUGAGCUUUUAAAACAAAAACAAAACAAAACAAAAAUCACAAAUUUACAUUAGUCUCAGCUUGUCACCUGUUCACCCAACUCAUCAUUUUGUCUAAGUGCUAAGAAAUCUUAGGAGUUAAACACAUUAAACAGAUUUUAAAAAAUGUAUUAAAAAGUAUGAGGAGAAAAUCUGAUAUUCAUUUCUCAUACUCUGAUACUCAUACCCAGUGAGACUCAAUUCUAAAUCCUUUGGGCAUUUUAUAAAAAAAAAAGAGAGAGAGAAGAAUUAUAGUGGAUGUGGGUGGAUCUAAGAAGCCAGCUCCAGUCUGUUCUUCCUACUGUUAAAGAGGGGUUGAAAAUGAUUCAAACUUGUGACCCUUUGGUUAGGACUUUCCAA